GCCACGGUGGUCUAGCGGUUAGAACGCUGGCCUUGUAAUCCUGGUUUCUCGGGUUCGAUUCCCGGCGGUGCCC
rnacentral:tRNA from 1 species